AGUAACGCGUGGGUAACCUGCCUCGUACAGGGGAGUAACAGUUAGAAAUGACUGCUAAUACCGCAUGAGCGCACAGUGCUGCAUGGCACAGUGUGAAAACUACCGGUGGUAUGAGAUGGACCCGCGUCUGAUUAGCUAGUUGGUGGGGUAACGGCCUACCAAGGCGACGAUCAGUAGCCGACCUGAGAGGGUGACCGGCCACAUUGGGACUGAGACACGGCCCAA
rnacentral:rRNA from 1 species